GCUUUUGAGAUUCCACAAUGCUUGGGAGAAAAUGUGGAUGUCUCCAGGGAGGCCAUACCUAAUGAGGAGCUCCCAACAAAUGGCAACUGAUGUUACCUACAACCGAAUAUGUCAAGAAGGGGAAACACACUCGCUUCAGCCUGCACCAACCAAAAUGACUGCUCAAAGGCCAUUCAGCCCCUUUAUCACUGUGGCUCAACUUUGAUUUUCUUCCCAGUUCAUCCAUGAUUCAGACUUCUGUUUCAGGAGCUUUGCCCAUGCGUUCUGCCACCUUCUGCCAGGAAUUACACCUGUCCCAUCCCGUCAAGUCUCCUGAAUGUCCA
rnacentral:lncRNA from 1 species